UUUUUACUACUUUGAUUUCUUGUGGUUUUUCUGGAUUUUAUUUGAGUGAUUUUUUGAGUUAAUUUCUCCAGUGUAUUCCCGUUUCCAUUUUGUUCAAUAUAUGUUGGUCAAUC